rnacentral:rRNA from 1 species
GACGAACCGUGCGAACGUUGUUCGGAAUCACUGGGCGUAAAGCGCACGUAGGCGGCUUGUUAAGUCAGGGGUGAAAUCCUGGAGCUCAACUCCAGAACUGCCUUUGAUACUGGCGAGCUUGAGUUCGGGAGAGGUGAGUGGAACUGCGAGUGUAGAGGUGAAAUUCGUAGAUAUUCGCAAGAACACCAGUGGCGAAGGCGGCUCACUGGCCCGAUACUGACGCUGAGGUGCGAAAGCGUGGGGGAGCAAACAGGGAUUAAGAAACCC